rnacentral:rRNA from 1 species
GACGAACGCUGGCGGCGUGCUUAACACAUGCAAGUCGAACGGUGAAGCGCCUUCCUUUUUGGUGGGUGUGGAUGAGUGGCGAACGGGUGAGUAACACGUGAGUAACCUGCCCCCUUCUUCUGGAUAACCGCAUGAAAGUGUGGCUAAUACGGGAUAUUCUGGGUCUGUCGCAUGAUGGGUCUGGGAAAGAUAUUGUUUCGGUUGGGGAUGGGCUCGCGGCCUAUCAGCUUGUUGGUGGGGUGAUGGCCUACCAAGGCGGUGACGGGUAGCCGGCCUGAGAGGGUGGACGGUCACACUGGGACUGAGACACGGCCCAGACUCCUACGGGAGGCAGCAGUGGGGAAUAGUGCACAAUGGGCGCAAGCCUGAUGCAGCGACGUCGCGUGAGGGAUGGAGGCCGUCGGGUUGUGAACCUCUUUCGCCAGUGAAGCAGGCCUGCCUCGUUUGUGGGUGGGUUGAGGGUAGCUGGAUAAGAAGCGCCGGCUAACUACGUG